rnacentral:lncRNA from 1 species
AGUCUCCUGCUCAAAACAGGAGCGCAGCAGCCGGAGGGAGUGGGGACAAGCUCGCUGAACACUGGGCGUCUCGACAGGGACCAGAGCCUGCAGGACUGUUCCGAGACGCUGCGGUGGCGGCGGCGCCGGAGGACGCGGAGGACUCCCUGGCCACCCGCCCUCCGUGCGCUCUGCCACCGGGCGCUCAGCAGAGACCCCGGGCUGCGGCUGCACUUGCUGAGUGCCUCUCCCCGCCGCCGCAGCCCAGAGGCGCCCAGCACCUGGAGCUCACUGGAGCUGAGGGUCCGAGCUGAGCGGGCUGUUGUAAAGCCGAAAGGCGAGUCAGUGACUGGGACCUCUGUCCUGGCACCGACUCUCGGUCAGUUGGGCGCGGCAGGGCGGGAGGGGCGCGCCAUGGAGGCGCCGGGUCGCGCCAGUAUGCUCCAGGCCAAGUGAAGCGGUCCGGCUGGGGUCGGCGGGACCCGCGGGCCAUGUACGGCGACAUAUUCAACGCCACGGGCGGCCCCGAGGCGGCGGUAGGCAGCGCGCUGGCCCCAGGAGCCACGGUCAAGGCAGAAGGCGCUUUGCCGCUGGAGCUGGCCACUGCGCGCGGUAUGAGGGACGGCGCGGCCACAAAGCCCGACCUGCCCACCUACCUGCUGCUCUUCUUCCUGCUGCUGCUCUCGGUGGCGCUCGUCGUCCUCUUCAUCGGUUGCCAGCUGCGCCAUUCGGCCUUCGCCGCGCUGCCCCACGACCGCUCGCUGCGCGACGCCCGCGCGCCCUGGAAGACGCGGCCGGUGUAGCUUGGGACUGAGCCACGGCCGCCGGGCGCCCCGUCCCGACCUAGCCAAGAGCAGCCAGCUUGAGCCUGGUAGGGAGGGCACGACACCGGGGAUCGCUGGCCCCUGGGAACACGGUGCCCUGACCCAAAGACCCUUCCUGAACUAGAGUGGCAACCCGAGAGGAAAGGGAGACCGAGGCGUCGGGAGCCUGUGUAGGGUCUCGAUCCCAGUACCUGUAGGUACCGUGAUUCUGAUCCCCUGGCCAAAUCUUUCUUCCUCUGGACAGAGGGUCCAGUCGGGAAACCUUCCCGAAAGACGGCGGUCGGGUCGGGAAACCUUCCUGAAAGACGGCGCGCCAGCCCGUCUUGCUUGCUCGCCGCCUGCUGACUUCCUUACUUUGCACACGGAAGGGGCAGGAACCGCAAGCGUGCAACUAGCCUGGAGCUACCCGUCUGGACUCGCAGGCCCUGUGGCUGUUUCCCACAGCUGCUACGGCCUCUCUUGCUCCUUGACACCGAGGAGGACCCCACUAGGAUCCGAGCGUCGUGAACUCACCUGAACUUUGGAAGGUUGGCACUGGGGGGCCGCAUCCCCCUGGGAAAUGACUGAACGCGGGGUUUCAGUGGGUCCCGCCUGGGUCUAAGGACCCAGUUUCUUCUGUGAGCACGGGCAGUGGGAGGCCGGUGGAAAGGCGCAGGGGCCCACCUACGCGUCUCACAUCUUCAGGGGCGCAUUUCUACAAUAAAAACUCACCCAAUUAGACCUAGCGCUGAGAACGUGCUGCUUCACUUUCCAUGAGGACAAGAACAAUGAUUCCAGCCCUACUGCCCUGCCUACCAUAAAGUUGGACCUGUGUUAAUCACUCAAUUGGCAAGUUCUACAAGCAACAAUUCCAAGAAUUUGAUAACUUUGGAGCAAAAGUCCAAAAGUUCAAAGAGAAAGGAUAUGAGUGCUUUCUUAGCUGAAUUUCCCCUUCUUCUCAAUUAUACUUUAGCCAGCUCCCACAAUACCCCACCCCACAUCAAACCACUUCUCAGGCAUAAAGAGAGCUAAUAAAACAUUGAGCUAGAAGCAAUUCAACUAAGAAGUAAAUAUUACAUUAUUUAAAAGGUAAAUUCUAAUACUUAAAAAAUUCACUUCUUGCUUCAGUACUCUCAUUCAUUCAACAAAUAUUGGUAUGCUUACUUAUAACAUAUCAAGAACUGUUCUAGCAGUGGCAACACAGGUCUGUCCUCACAGAUCUUACAUUCCCAUGAGGUAAGACAGUCAAUAAACAGGGUAAAGAAAUAUAUAUGUUGGAUGGUGAUAAACGCUAUGCAGAAUGAAAGGCUUUCUUAGGUACAAAGAACUCAAGAAACACUUUAGAACCAAACCAAUUUCUCUGAGAACCCUUUCAAAAAGAGCUAGAGCUCCAUCUAUAAUCAGCAAAGUAUCUGUCAAAGAAAGCCAAGGAUCAAUGUACAGUGACUACCAGAACAGGUUAGAAGGGCACACUCAUAAACCUUUGCUACUGGUUUGGGGGUUUCAGUUUUAACUUUUCUGUUAAAAUUCUCAGCAUUUAUCUCAAAUGAAAGUAUUAUUUAAAAUGAAAUAAUGAAGGAGGUUUAUUAGAUGGGAAGGGGUAACUGAUUAAGACAAAGUAUAAGGAUCUUUUCAAAAUCCAUCUCUAAACAUCAAUAAACUGCCUCAGAAAAUCUCUCACUAGGAAUUAUACACACACCCAUUUGAUAUAAUAUGGAUAAGUCUUCACCACCAGUCUAAAUCCCUCUUCCCACCUCCCAUCCAACAUACGUUAACAUGGAGAUGGUUAAGCAAGCUGCCCAUAGCUCUUCUUUGAAUUUUCCCUAUAGCCCCAUUACCCUUUUUUUAAACAGAAAAACUGAUUUAGAUAGAAAGAACAAGUUUUGUUUUUGCAAAGCUUAUGAUAGACUUACAAACUCAAUGACAAAAAUCAGUAAUAUUUAAAAUGUUAAAUGGGAAGGGUGUUUUAAAAAUGCUUCCUUCUUUCAAUCAUAAAUACUACAGAGCUCUAAAUAAAUCUUCCUUAUAAGCAUUGCUGCAGUCUACUGACAAUCUUAAAAAUGUUUAUAAAACGAUAGCUGCAUCAAAACUGCUGUAAUACAAAAUAGUAUUAGCCACUGUCCCAACCCCUCAUCACCUGAACUGUUUUGGCUACAGCAACCUGAAAACUAAUUAUCUUAAACCCAAGAGAAGCCAACAUCCUCUUAGUGCUCACUGAACCUUCUUCCGCUAGGACAAGUGUGCUUUUUUAAAAAAUACACUUCUAAAACAACCAGUGAUGUUGCUACAAAAUACCUUACAAAAUGCCUUUUAAGUAAAAAGACAUAGGAAGGAACUGAUUCUCAGAAAUUGGUAGGAAUGUCCAAUCUUUUGGCUUCCCUAGGCCACAGUGAAGUAUAAUUAUCUUGGGCCACACAUAAAACACACUAAC